UACGUAGGGUGCGAGCGUUGUCCGGAAUUACUGGGCGUAAAGAGCUCGUAGGUGGUUUGUCGCGUUGUCCGUGAAACCGUCACAACUCAAUUGUGGGCGUGCGGGCGGAUACGGGCAGGACUGGGAGUACUGCAGGGGAGACUGGAAAUUCCUGGUGUAGCGGUGGAAUGCGCAGAUAUCAGGAGGAACACCGGCUGGCGAAGGCGGGUCUCUGGGCAGUAACUGACGUGGAGGAGCGAAAGCGUGGGGAGCGAACAGG
rnacentral:rRNA from 1 species